AUGGUUUUCCUGCAAUUCUGCGGUAUAGAACUUUUUUUUCAAGGUGCGUUUUCCGGUUUUAUUUUCCGUCACGCUGCGAACUUGACAGUGUCAAAGAUGUAGUAUAAUUAUAUUUUAGAUGAUUGUAUGAAAUUAUGCUACGUUCAACGAAGAUCAAUUUAUUCUGAGCAAUGUAUAAGUACAAUAGUAUGAUUUUAUGGAUUCAUGCUUGUGUUACCUGACGUAAUUGACAAUGGACUCGGCUUUGACUGCAGUAAUAAAUCAUUUCUAUAGUCAAUACAUAUGUUAACAAUGCUAGCAUCAUGGAAACGUCGAACAUUCACAAGGGAUACAUAUAUUUCUGGAGCACCGUGGAACACAGUGGAUCUGGAGAAUAUACCUGAUGAAUAAAAAGUACAAAACCUAUAAGCGAACGCUUAUUGAGAUUUUAAGAUUUUAAACUCAAUAUUUAAAGUAAGAUAUAAUGCUAUCACUUAUACUAUUUAAACGUAUUAACGACUAACCACACAUCAUCAUUUCAUACAGUUACACAAUAUGUAUCAAUGUACUCUUGAAAUGAUACAUGUAUUCCUGGUGCAAAAUAUCUUCUAACAUUUUGUAUCUUUUACUCGACGUAUGAUGUGUACCAAGUAUUGUUUGCAAAAUUCAAUUUGCAUUACAUCAACAUGCAAUAUUCAAUAGAUGUUAUACACAUAUUCGUAUAUUUACGAUUAUCAAUAUGAAAUCAUGUAUUAUCAUCUGCUUAAUUUUUACUUCAUACACACAUAUUACCAAUAUUAAGAUAUACAAAAUAUAAUCUUUCGAACACAUAUUUAUCAAAUUUACUAAACGAUUAGAUGACAAAAUUCAUACUAUAUUAAUAUCAUAUUAUGGGUCUCUCUUUUGUUCAUUUACAAAUAAUAUAUACAUAUUUUAAUCUUUAAAAUGUCAUCAUUAAUAGACAGUAUUAAUGGAUUAUAUAGAAAUCUGUAGUAACUUAAAUACUCAUGUGCAAUUUUUUAACUAUCUUACUUUUGUAAUGUUAAUAUAUUAAUAAUCUUUGCAAUAU